CAACCCCACACGCUGCAGCCACCGCCAGGCAGCGUCACCCCUGGGGUUGUUUCGCGGCUGCCUGCAGUUCCUCUCAGCGGCAGCAGAGGGCGCCCGAGCGACCCUCCCAGGCCCUGCGAGGCCUCGCUCCACGCGCGUCUCCAACUGCCCCGGGUGGCGGGGCGCGAGGCAGUGGCGCGAGCCAGCCCUGCUGAGCGGGGAGCUCGGCGCGCCCCGCCUGGCUCUGCAGAGGAGCGCUUGACUGGGGAAGAGUGUGUCACAGGUGCUGCCAGAGUAAACAAUCCUGGAUGUUUUGAGGGGGGCAGAGAGUCAGAGCGGGUCCAAAUGCGUCCAGACAAGCACCAUGUACAAAUCAAUACGCGUCAAGGGCAGAGUGCUGCUGGCGAGGAAGAUCCCAGAGCAACAGAGGCUGUUGGCUGGGAGCCGACCCCCAUUGCGAGCAUGAAAGAGACAAUUGUGAGUUGAGCUGCUGGACCAAGAAGGCCACACCUGCAGCCCAGGGCCUUUGGGGAGUCUCGGAUGGCUCAGGGGCGUCUAAGGGAGCAUCAGGACAUUCAGUUUAAUGACAGAAUCUUACAUCAGAGCUUGGCGUUAGUCACUGUCCCUGCUGACUCAUUUCCAGUAGUUGAGGCCAGGGGAGGUGGCUUAGCAAGCUAAGUGACAGAGAUUUCAGACUCUUCAGCAUAUCUGCAGGAUGGGCUCAGUUCAGCCAUUUGUUGCUCUGAGCAUUUACCGACCUCCAUGCAGCUUACUUGUGUGGUGCUCUUUCAGGCAUGACCCUCAAAAUUCAGCUCUGCAUUUGAUCCCCGCCCCCUCCCUCACCCGCAGCACCCUUGUAAUAGUUAGGGUUUGCCCCAUGCCUUAUCACUAUCCUGCCUUCCAUAGCCUGCCAAGCCAAAGGGCUAAGCCAGACAACAUUGUAAUAGAAACGAGGGAGGUCACAUUAUGAACAUUUCCCCCUUCUUGCCAAGAGGCUGCCAUGGAAACACGACUUGCAGGCAAAUGGCUAAUGCUGCAGUGUGGAUGAGCUUUUGGACUAGAACAUGAAAGGUGAUAUCAAGUGGGACUUCCUGGGCUGUGGUGGAGUAAUAAAAGGCAUCAAUCCAGAGCUGAUGAAGGAUUCCAUCACCAAGGAACCAACCUCUUCACAUUCCUGGGAUAGGAUGUGACAGCCUCAUAAUGAAGAGCAUUACAGGCUCUUACAGUUCCGGGCAGGCAAUGGAUUCCUAUUGGCAGGGGCAGCAUGCAUCCGACCUGGUUAUAAUAGAACAGGAAGAAGGAGAGGUGGAUUUAUUGACAGCUCACGUGUCUCAGCCUGGUGUGAAGGAGGAUGAACAGCUGCCAGGCUCCAGGAUCAGUGUAUUUCACUAUCAUUUCCCCAUACCGUGUAGCACACAAUCCAAGUAGGAAGAAGCAGCUGCCAUUUUGAUGUCUGUGUGAAGUCAUAUCACCCUAGGAGGAAGCCUGGAGAAGCUAUGGAUUUUUAAAUGCAUCUUAACAGACAAGUGCUGGAGAAAGUUGGAAGAAUGACAGGAGACCGAAGGCCUCUGUUUAUUCACAGAAGAGGUACAGCACUUGCAGUGACAGUUUCCCCAUGCUGCCCCCCUGUGAAAGUGCCUCAACCCUGAACAGGAGAGACAAACAUAUAGAGAACCUGUGCUCCCUGGUGGUCUGUCUGUUGAAUUUCCCCCAGUGCUGGUGUUCUGCCCUGGACCCACAAUUCCACUAAACCCUGAAGAAGAGGUAGUGCUCAUCUGGUUAAUGCUGGGUGUCGAGGAAGAUGCUGACAACUGUGGCACAGAGGAUCCAGAUGCUGAACUACUUCCUGCUACAAGCACUCAAGUCCCUGAAGAAAGUUUUGGCUCCGUCGAGCAAGGCCUCAUUUUCUGGACACAGCACAAUAUAAGCGACAUCCCGAUGGCCCCCAUAUGGGUCUAGCAACAGCCUCUCCCAGA